rnacentral:snRNA from 1 species
AUACUUACCGGGCAGGUCAUGAUCUAGAAGGUGGUUCGCCCAAGACUACGCUCUGCCACAACGCUGAAGCUGUUCUGACCCCUGCGAGUUCCCUAAAUGUGUAGAGAAUCUUGUGUAAUUUCUGAUCGGGUGACUGACUGCGUUUGCGCUCCGUCCUG